GACGAACGCUGGCGGCGUGCUUAACACAUGCAAGUCGAACGGAAAGGCCCUGCUUUUGUGGGGUGCUCGAGUGGCGAACGGGUGAGUAACACGUGAGUAACCUGCCCUUGACUUUGGGAUAACUUCAGGAAACUGGGGCUAAUACCGGAUAGGAGCUCCUGCUGCAUGGUGGGGGUUGGAAAGUUUCGGCGGUUGGGGAUGGACUCGCGGCUUAUCAGCUUGUUGGUGGGGUAGUGGCUCACCAAGGCUUUGACGGGUAGCCGGCCUGAGAGGGUGACCGGCCACAUUGGGACUGAGAUACGGCCCAGACGCCUACGGGAGGCAGCAGUGGGGAAUAUUGCACAAUGGGCGGAAGCCUGAUGCAGCAACGCCGCGUGCGGGAUGACGGCCUUCGGGUUGUAAACCGCUUUCGCCUGUGACGAAGCGUGAGUGACGGUAAUGGGUAAAGAAGCACCGGCUAACUACGUG
rnacentral:rRNA from 1 species